AAUGGGGAGAAAUUGGAAAAAUGGGGGGAAAAUUCAGGGAAAAUUGAGGGAAAAAACAGGAAAAAUGAGGCAAAUGGGGAAUAAAUGGGUGAAAAUUGGAAAAAAUGGGGGAAAUUUGGGAAAAUUGAGGAAAAAUGGAGAAAAUCUGGAAAAUUGAGGGGGAAAUCGGGGGAAGGGUGGCACCAGGGUCCCCAAAAGUGACACUGGGGACACCAAAGGUGGCACGAGGGACCCCAAGGGUGACAGAAGGACCCCAGAGGUGACACUGGGGACACUUGGGGUGGCAGAGGGACCCCAGAGGUGGCACCAGGGACCCCAAAGGUGACAUUGGGGACUCCAAGGGUGGCACUGGGGAACCCCUAGGGACCCUCAAAGUGGCACAGGGACCCUAAAGAUGACACCAGGGACCCCAAAGGUGGCACCAGGGACCCCAAAGGUGGCACUGGGGACCUCCAGGGUGUCACUGGGGACAGGCAGAGUGACACUGGGAUCACCAGGGUGGCACCAGGGGCCCCAAAGGUGGCACUNNNNNNNNNNNNNNNNNNNNNNNNNNNNNNNNNNNNNNNNNNNNNNNNNNNNNNNNNNNNNNNNNNNNNNNNNNNNNNNNNNNNNNNNAGUGACACCAGGAUCAGGUAAAAUGGCAGAGGGACCCCAAGGGUGACACUGGGGACAGGAAGAGUGACACUAAGGACACUCAGGGUGGCACCAGGGGUCCCAAAGGUGACACUGGGGACCCCCUGGAGAUCCCAAAGGUGACACUGGGGACACCCAGGGUGGCUCCAGGGACCCAAAGUUGGCACCAGGGACCCCAAAGGUGACACAGGGACCCCAAAGGUGACACUGGGGACCCCAAAGAUGGCACCAGGGACCCCAAAGGUGGCACUAGGGACCUCAAAGGUGGCACUGAGGACAAUCCAGGGUGGCACCAGGGAACCCAAGAAAUGACACCAGGGCAGGUAAAGCAGCAGAGGGACCCCAAGGGCGACACUGGGGACACUCAGGGUGGCACCAGGAGUCCCAAAGGUGACACCAGGGACCCCAAAGGUGACAUUGGGGAGCCCAAAGAUGGCAGCAGGGACCCUAAAGGUGACAGAAGGACCCAAAAGUUGACAUUGGGGACAUCCAGAGUGGCACCAGGGACCCUAAAGGUGACACCAGGCACCCCAAAGAUGACAGCAGGGACCCCAAAGGUGGCACUGGGGAACCCCUGGGGACCCUCAAGGUGGCACAGGGACCCAAAGGGUGACACAGGACCCCAAAGGUGGCACAGGGACCCCAAAGGUGGCACAGGGACCCCAAGGGUGGCGCUGGGGACAAUCACAGGCGUCACCGAGCGGUCCCAUUGCCCACGUCCUGCGCCAGCCUCCUGACCGCGGGGUUGGGAUACUCGGGGCUCUCGACGACCCCCGGGCCGAACUUGAACUCCAGGAAGGCGCGGGGCUCGUUGGGGGCUUUGGCCACGAGCCCCGCGAAGGGCACCGAGCCCAGGGGCAGCAGGAACCUCUCGGGGAACUCCACGUCCUGCCGGUGGCCCAGCCACGUGUCCUUGGUCAUCAGCCCGCGGCGGCGCGCGUAGAACGGCCACAGGUCCACGUGCAGCCGGUUGGAGCGGCUGAAGUGCACCCGGAAAAACUCGCCCUCGGCCGCCUUCUCCCAGAGGAAGCCCUGCGGGUCCUCCACGGGCCGGCCGGUGGCCGCCACGGCCGCCAGCCGGGGGGGGGGGGGGGGGGGGGGGGGGGGGGGGGGGGGGGGGGGGGGGGGGGGGGGGGGGGGGGGGGGGGGGGGG
rnacentral:lncRNA from 12 species